rnacentral:rRNA from 1 species
UACGGAGGGUGCAAGCGUUAUCCGGAUUCACUGGGUUUAAAGGGUGCGUAGGUGGGCUAGUAAGUCCGUGGUGAAAUCUCCAAGCUUAACUUGGAAACUGCCGUGGAUACUAUUAGUCUUGAAUCUCGUGGAGGUAAGCGGAAUAUGUCAUGUAGCGGUGAAAUGCUUAGAUAUGACACAGAACACCGAUUGCGAAGGCAGCUCACAAAACUAUAACUGACGCUGAGGCACGAAAGCGUGGGGAUCAAACAGG